rnacentral:lncRNA from 1 species
AUUUAAUGGUAUUAAAUGAAUAAUGCUUUACAAUGAAAAUUCUGGAUGAACAUCUGGAUUAAUUUAUUUGUUUACCAAAAAUCACAAAGAAAGAUAGAAAUAUUAUGGAAAGCAGGAUUCUCUUCUGUUUUUGUGUUUUUUUUCUGUGAUUUUCUAAUCUUUUUUUAAAAAAAUUUACAAAUGUUACAUAGUCAGUAAUGUGAUCUGGGGUCAUCAGGUGUUUCGAGUCUUUCAACAUCAACCCUUGCCCAGGGUUGAUUAAGUCCCGACUUGCGUGCGAGCAGCAACUGACCACGGAUCCGCUCUCUUAAUCCAGAGCUGCCUAGUGGCUCUCUCUGUGGCUUCAGUAGCUGAUGUGAUGGCCUUCCUCUUCACCUCCCCUGAGAUGCCCAGCAGUGUUAGGGCUUUGCACAAUGAGUGCCCUGCAAAUCCCUGACAGCCCACCUCAAUGGGCAUGCAAUGUGUAUGCCAGCCUUCCUUCUGACAUUGUUCCACAAGCUCCUGGUACUUUGCACAUUUUUGCUUGUUGGCUUCCUCCAGGUGCACCUUCCAGGGCACUGUCAGCUCCAACAUGACCAUUUGCUUGCUAGUCUUAGAAAAGAUUAUCAUUCCCAGGCAGAGAGAUGUGAAUAUAAUGUUUUCUGGGAACCUCAACUACUUAUCCAAGUGUUCUCUCAGAUGCCAGUGGGUAACUAUGAUUAGGAGGCCUGUCUUCCCUCUAGGGUGUGGGUGGACCUUGUGGCCAGCCUUAAAAAAGGAGAAAGUCUUCCAUGCAGAGUGGUGAUGCUUGGUGGUGCUGAUGACUGUGGCAUCAUGUUCUGCAACAGCCUUUAGCACUUGGUCGUGAAGCCAACGGUAGCAACCUUCUCCAAGACCUUGCAGGCAACUGCUCAGAAUGUGUUCCAGGGAUGCCCUCCCGGUGCAAAGAGUGCAGGUGGGCGAUUCACUCUUCCCCAAGACAUGAAGCUCAACUGGACAGUAUUACAAGAAACGCUGCUUUGUUUUCCCAAUAAUAAACCAUGGAUAAUUAUAUACGUCAAGAGACAGAAGGAGCUGAUGGUUGAUUUUCAAAAUGCUAUGUGUUACUGCUACCUCAGAGCAACAGUUGACAUAACAGUUAGAGCUGCAGCCCUUGGAACUUCAGAUCAGAGAUUUAAAUCCUAUCUCCUUCUAGAGUACUCUCGAGCAAGGUAUGGCAACACAGUGAGUAGUGCUGCUGUUUCACAGCACCUAGGUUGUGUGGGAGAAUGUUUUUUGGACCCAGCUCAGUCUGAGUGGUGUUUUCAUGUUCUCCCCAUGUCUGCAUAUAAAGACAUGCUGUGCAGGUGGAUUAGCAACUCAAAAAAGAGUCACCCAGAGCAUUUGAGUGACAGAAACAAUGAGUUUUACAUUAUUUAUUAAUUUAGGU